CCUACGGGAGGCAGCAGUGAGGAAUAUUGGACAAUGGGCGCAAGCCUGAUCCAGCCAUGCCGCGUGCAGGAAGAAGCAUCUAUGGUGUGUAAACUGCUUUUGUACGGGAAGAAACACUGCUACGUGUAGCAGCUUGACGGUACCGUAAGAAUAAGGAUCGGCUAACUCCGUGCCAGCAGCCGCGGUAAUACGGAGGAUCCAAGCGUUAUCCGGAAUCAUUGGGUUUAAAGGGUCCGUAGGCGGUUUGGUAAGUCAGUGGUGAAAGCCCAUCGCUUAACGAUGGAACGGCCAUUGAUACUGCCAGACUUGAAUUACUAGGAAGUAACUAGAAUAUGUAGUGUAGCGGUGAAAUGCUUAGAUAUUACAUGGAAUACCAAUUGCGAAGGCAGGUUACUACUAGUUUAUUGACGCUGAUGGACGAAAGCGUGGGGAGCGAACAGGAUUAGAUACCCUGGUAGUCCACGCCGUAAACGAUGGAUACUAGCUGUUCGGGGUAACCUGAGUGGCUAAGCGAAAGUGAUAAGUAUCCACCUGGGGAGUACGUUCGCAAGAAUUGAAACUUNAAAGGAAUUGACGG
rnacentral:rRNA from 1 species